UUUUAUGAUGAAACAACACUUUUUACUAUUAUUUCUGGUACCUCUUAUGUCAGAAGCGUGUCUUCGGAUCCGUCUUCGAUGAUCUAAAUGGACUUCUGAUC
rnacentral:snoRNA from 1 species